CUUCUCUCGAUAUUUGUGAUCAGUUGCAGUGUAGUGGUGUAUUUGUUGGUGCUCUGAUUGAGCGUGCUAGAAACCCUAGGAUAGAAAUUUCUAAUAAUGGCUUCCACUUCCGCUCCCCAGCCCUCGCGUUCGCCUUCUCCUUCUCCUCAUGCUUCUUCAUCUUCUUCCUCCCAGCUCCAAGGUCUCGAAAACCUUCCUUCCCCCUCUGCCUCUCACGAUUCCCAAGCUACUCCGAGUCCUUCCCGACCUAAAAAGAAAACCAGAAAGACACCCCAACCUCCCAAGUCUAUUCCUGAGUCCCGCCUUAGCGUUGCGGAGAUGGAAAAGAUGAAGGCCAAAUGCGUAACCCCGCAGACCUGAAGUUUGAACCUUUUUCUAAGGCCUCAACGCCCCCUGAGAGAAUGCGUAAUCCUAAAAUGGUGGUCAUUUGGAAGGCCCAGAUUGAUGCUGGCCUAAGGCUUCCUCCCCCUGCUCUUUUGGCUGAGGUUUGCAACCAUUACCGUAUCCCCUUUUAUCAAGUCACCCCCUCUGCUAUCCGUAGGUUAUACGCCUUCCACAUCCUGUGCCGAGCUCACGGUGUUGGAGACACCGCC
rnacentral:lncRNA from 1 species